rnacentral:lncRNA from 1 species
CCAAAUCUAGUUGUUGGAACGCCAUAAUGGCAACUUUCGUGGCUAGAUCCAGCAAUUGGCUCCUUAUUUUGAUGUUUUUUAGGGCUUAAGUGGCCAUUGACGAGAAAAGACAAUGUUAGUGACCAAAUUUUGUUGCUGGAGUCCUAAUCGGUGCUAACAACGAUCGAUUUUGACAAUGAUACUGAGCACCGGAGUCGGAGUGGCG